rnacentral:rRNA from 1 species
UACCAGCACCCCGAGUGGUCGGGACGAUUAUUGGGCCUAAAGCAUCCGUAGCCGGCUUUGCAAGUCUUCGGUUAAAUCCACCUGCUCAACAGAUGGGCCGCUGGAGAUACUACAAAGCUAGGGAGUGGGAGAGGCAGACGGUAUUCAGUGGGUAGGGGUAAAAUCCUCUGAUCCAUUGAGGACCACCAGUGGCGAAGGCGGUCUGCCAGAACACGUUCGACGGUGAGGGAUGAAAGCUGGGGGAGCAAACCGG